GACGAACGCUGGCGGCGUGCUUAACACAUGCAAGUCGAACGGAAAGGCCCUGCUUUUGUGGGGUGCUCGAGUGGCGAACGGGUGAGUAACAAGUGAGUAACCUGCCCUCGACUUUGGGAUAACUUCAGGAAACUGGGGCUAAUACCGGAUAGGAGCUCCUGCUGCAUGGUGGGGGUUGGAAAGUUUCGGCGGUUGGGGAUGGACUCGCGGCUUAUCAGCUUGUUGGUGGGGUAGUGGCUUACCAAGGCUUUGACGGGUAGCCGGCCUGAGAGGGUGACCGGCCACAUUGGGACUGAGAGACGGCGCAGACUCCUACGGGAGGCAGCAGUGGGGAAUAUUGCACAAUGGGCGGAAGCCUGAUGCAGCGACGCCGCGUGCGGGAUGAAGGCCUUCGGGUUGUAAACCGCUUUCGCCUGUGACGAAGCGUGAGUGACGGUAAUGGGUAAAGAAGCACCGGCUAACUACGUG
rnacentral:rRNA from 1 species